UACGAAGGGGGCUAGCGUUGUUCGGAAUCACUGGGCGUAAAGCGCACGUAGGCGGAUCUUUAAGUCAGGGGUGAAAUCCCGAGGCUCAACCUCGGAACUGCCUUUGAUACUGGGGAUCUCGAGUCCGGGAGAGGUGAGUGGAACUGCGAGUGUAGAGGUGAAAUUCGUAGAUAUUGGGAAGAACACCGGUGGCGAAGGCGGCGACCUGGUCCGAUACUGACGCUGAGGCGCGAAAGCGUGGGGAGCAAACAGG
rnacentral:rRNA from 1 species